GAUGAACGCUGGCGGCGUGCCUAAUACAUGCAAGUCGAGCGAAUGGAUUAAGAGCUUGCUCUUAUGAAGUUAGCGGCGGACGGGUGAGUAACACGUGAGUAACCUGCCCAUAAGACUGGGAUAACUCCGGGAAACCGGGGAUAAUACCGGAUAACAUUUUGAACCGCAUGGUUCGAAAUUGAAAGGCGGCUUCGGCUGUCACUUAUGGAUGGACCCGCGGCGAAUUAGCUAGUUGGUGAGGUAACGGCUCACCAAGGCAACGAUGCGUAGCCGACCUGAGAGGGGGAUCGGCCACACUGGGACUGAGACACGGCCCAGACUCCUACGGGAGGCAGCAGUAGGGAAUCUUCCGCAAUGGACGAAAGUCUGACGGAGCAACGCCGCGUGAGUGAUGAAGGCUUUCGGGUCGUAAAACUCUGUUGUUAGGGAAGAACAAGUGCUAGUUGAAUAAGCUGGCACCUUGACGGUACCUAACCAGAAAGCCACGGCUAACUACGUGCCAGCAGCCGCCGUAA
rnacentral:rRNA from 1 species